rnacentral:rRNA from 1 species
AAGAUUAAGCCAUGCAUGUCUAAGUAUAAGCAAAUUAUACAGUGAAACUGCGAAUGGCUCAUUAAAUCAGUUAUCGUUUAUUUGAUAUUUCUUACUACAUGGAUAACCGUGGUAAUUCUAGAGCUAAUACAUGCACGAAAGCCCGUUCUUUUGAAUGGGUGUAUUUAUUAGAUAAAAACCAAUGCCCCUCGGGGCUCCGUGGUGAUUCAUAAUAACUUUGCGGAGCGUAU